CUGGAAACGGCUGCUAAUACUCUAUAUGCCGAGAGGCGAAAGGAUCUAUCCACCUUAGGAAGAGCUCGCGUCUGAUUAGCUUGUUGGUGAGGUAAUGGCUCACCAAGGCGACGAUCAGUAGCUGGUUUGAGAGGACGACCAGCCACACUGGGACUGAGACACGGCCCAGACUCCUACGGGAGGCAGCAGUGGGGAAUUUUCCGCAAUGGGCGAAAGCCUGACGGAGCAAUACCGCGUGAGGGAUGAAGGCCUGUGGGUUGUAAACCUCUUUUCUCAAGGAAGAAAUUUUGACGGUACUUGAGGAAUAAGCAUCGGCUAACUCUGUGCCAGCAGCCGCGGUAAUACAGAGGAUGCAAGCGUUAUCCGGAAUUAUUGGGCAUAAAGCGUCUGUAGGUCGCAGAUUAAGUCUGUUGUUAAAGACCAGGGCCUAACCCUGGGAAAGCAAUGGAAACUAAUUCGCUUGAGUGUGGUAGAGGUAGAGGGAAUUCCUAGUGUAGCGGUGAAAUGCGUAGAUAUUAGGAAGAACACCAAUGGCGAAAGCACUCUACUGGGCCAUAACUGACACUGAGAGACGACAGCUAGGGGAGCAAAUGGGAUUAGAUACCCCAGUAGUC
rnacentral:rRNA from 1 species